GGAGAGGGCUAGCGUUAUUCGGAAUUAUUGGGCGUAAAGGGCGCGUAGGCGGAUUAGUAAGUUAAAAGUGAAAUCCCAAGGCUCAACCUUGGAAUUGCUUUUAAAACUGCUAAUCUAGAGAUUGAAAGAGGAUAGAGGAAUUCCUAGUGUAGAGGUGAAAUUCGUAAAUAUUAGGAGGAACACCAGUGGCGAAGGCGUCUAUCUGGUUCAAAUCUGACGCUGAGGCGCGAAGGCGUGGGGAGCAAACAGGAUUAGAUACCCUGGUAGUCCACGCUGUAAACGAUGAAUGUUAAAUAUGGGGAGUUUACUUUCUGUAUUACAGCUAACGCGUUAAACAUUCCGCCUGGGGACUACGGUCGCAAGAUUAAAACUCAAAGGAAUUGACGGGGACCCGCACAAGCGGUGGAGCAUGUGGUUUAAUUCGAUGCAACGCGAAGAACCUUACCUACUCUUGACAUCCAGAGAACUUAGCAGAGAUGCUUUGGUGCCUUCGGGAACUCUGAGACAGGUGC
rnacentral:rRNA from 1 species